UACGAAGGGGGCUAGCGUUGUUCGGAAUUACUGGGCGUAAAGCGCACGUAGGCGGAUAUUUGAGUCAGGGGUGAAAUCCCAGAGCUCAACUCUGGAACUGCCUUUGAUACUGGGUAUCUUGAGUAUGGAAGAGGUGAGUGGAAUUCCGAGUGUAGAGGUGAAAUUCGUAGAUAUUCGGAGGAACACCAGUGGCGAAGGCGGCUCACUGGUCCAUUACUGACGCUGAGGUGCGAAAGCGUGGGGAGCAAACAGG
rnacentral:rRNA from 1 species